rnacentral:rRNA from 1 species
CACACCGCCCGUCACAUCACGAAAGCCAGUUGUACUAGAAGCCGGCAAUUCAACCGCAAGGAGAUAACCGUCCAAGGUAUGACUGGUGAUUGGGGUG